GAUGAACGCUGGCGGCGUGCCUAAUACAUGCAAGUCGAGCGAAUGGAUUGAGAGCUUGCUCUUAUGAAGUUAGCGGCGGACGGGUGAGUAACACGUGGGUAACCUGCCCAUAAGACUGGGAUAACUCCGGGAAACCGGGGCUAAUACCGGAUAACAUUUUGAACCACAUGGUUCGAAAUUGAAAGGCGGCUUCGGCUGUCACUUAUGGAUGGACCCGCGUCGCAUUAGCUAGUUGGUGAGGUAACGGCUCACCAAGGCAACGAUGCGUAGCCGACCUGAGAGGAUGAUCGGCCACACUGGGACUGAGACACGGCCCAGACUCCUACGGGAGGCAGCAGUAGGGAAUCUUCCGCAAUGGACGAAAGUCUGACGGAGCAACGCCGCGUGAGUGAUGAAGGCUUUCGGGUCGUAAAACUCUGUUGUUAGGGAAGAACAAGUGCUAGUUGAAUAAGCUGGCACCUUGACGGUACCUAACCAGAAAGCCACGGCUAACUACGUGCCAGCCGCCGCCGUAA
rnacentral:rRNA from 1 species